GAAAUGCGAUAAGUAAUGUGAAUUGCAGAAUUCAGUGAAUCAUCGAAUCUUUGAACGCACAUUGCGCCCGCCAGAAUUCUGGCGGGCAUGCCUGUUCGAGCGUCAUUUCAACCCUCGAGCUCCCCUUUCGGGGGGAGCCCGGCGUUGGGGACCCGGCGCUAACAACGCCGGCCCCGAAAUGGAGUGGCGGCCCGUCCGCGGCGACCUCUGCGUAGUAACAACCACUCGCACCGGGACCCGGGCGCAGCCACGCCGUAAAACACCCCACCUUCCGAAUGUUGACCUCGAAUCAGGUAGGAAUACCCGCUGAACUUAAGC
rnacentral:misc_RNA from 1 species